AAAAUUUCAAAUUUCAAUUCUUUUUUCUAUCUAUUUCUGGGUUUCUCUCUCCUUCGCCCACGGAAAUCAGAAUCACUCUAUUCUUUCGACACUCUUUUUCUUUUUUCUCUCUUCUCUGAUCGUCCUCUUCAUUUUAUCUUCAUCUCACCAACUGGAAUUGUGUUUCAAGCCUCUGGGGCGCAGAUGAAGCCUUUCUUUGCCUCCAUUGGUCAGCUGUGGAAGGAGCAGAAGCUAGCCGAAAAACCCGCAAGGUUUGUCAUCAGCACUGGCACUCAAGGUGAUAACCAGCUCAUCAAUAAUGUCCACUCUUCCACUUCCUCUCACCAACUGUAGCCUUAUUUUUCCCUGACCUGAUAGCUUUCAUUUUUGGCCUCAAGAGCAGUUAAUUGAAAACAGAGUCCUACAUCUUGCUAAAAUCAUGAUCUUCUUGCAAAAGGGAAAAAGAGUCGGCCAAGGUGGAAGAAGAAUGGACCCUCGGCAGUACACAAAUUGGGCUUUCGACAAAUUGGCUACUUGGUGAAGGAGAAUGCCUUGCUUUCCAACACUGUCAGAAGCUUAGACAAAGAUGUCUCCAAGACAAGAAAACUACAUGCAAAUGCAAAGCAAAGAGAAUGAUGGACAUAGGAGGAGCAUACGCGGUUUCUAGGAGCCAUAGUGCUAUAUGGAAGAAUUGCAGAGCAUGGAAUGUAGCAUUUGCAAGACGGGCGCUUAAAGAUUCAGAUUUGAGGAUAGCUCAUAGUUAGGCCUUUUUCCUUUUCAGUUAUGUUAGUAGUUAGUAGCGUUAGGGAUAUAGAUGUUAUGGUUUAGGUUUAUGAAUAUUUUAGCUUUUCUUUUACCUUAUUGCCAAUAAUAUUCUGUUCCUUCAGCUAUUUGGCAUUUAUUCAAGCAAUUGUUAUAAACUUUAGGUAUAUUUUGUUUGAUAGAUAAUUCUCAAAUAGUAUAUAUCUCAAUAGCAUAUAAUGAAUGAAAUUUGUUUGAUGGAAAGAUUCUGGAAUUUUGAGAAAGAAAGUGAAGAGGUGGGAGGUCAAGGUGUUGGAGCUUAGCUCAGAGAUGGAGAGGAAAUUGAGCAGCUCAUCAAGGAGGUAUUUUUUUAUUUGAAUACCAAGUUAUUUUAUUUUAUUGAGACUGUCUACUUACAAAAUCAGAAGUUUUGACUUAGCUGUUAGAAGGGCAUGUUGUCCCCAAUAAGAAACUUUGGGCCUGGUGUUAUUUCCUUUCUUGAAUAUAAGAUGAUAAAUUUUUGCAUAAAGGAGGGUGCUGAUGAGGAGGGUGUGGAACCAGUGAAGGAAUAAGAGGAGAAAAGUGUUAACUAGCAUUGUUUUGAAAGGUAAUGCAUGUUGGAUAUUGUUAGCACUUGCAUGCUUGGUCAUUAUAGGUUCCUUGUUAAGGUGACAAAGCUAAAGCCUGCAGAUCUGCCUUUGUAUUUGAUGAAUACCUUUCUGUCUUCAUAAUUCUAUAUUUGCACAGUUGUUUUCAAUCUUUGAAUACUCGGGCAUAUCUGUUGGCGCAUAGCUAGAACUGCAGUUAGUAUUUCUUUGAUGUUGGAACAAAGCUUUGGAGAAAGAGAACUAAGUCAACAGGUGAGACAUAGUGAUUUUCAACACCGUAUCCUGUUGUUGAGUUACUUCCAAUAUUGUUGAAGAGCAGAGAAGUAGAUUAUGUUGUUGAAAGGUACCGCUUAUGGUGGUGUCUGAUCCUGCAAGUUGGAGUGAAAGUGGUCUUAUAGUAGAAAGAAACAGCAGGUAAAGCUGAAGGAGAGGACUGGCAAAUGCUUAAAAGAAAAACAGAUGCUGAAAUUUGCUGCAUUAUGUUUCCUUAUAAGAGUCUGAUUAGAAUUAUGUAAACAUAAUUUUCCAAAAUUUAAUUGGUAGUUUUCUUCUAUGCUUUAACAUCAAUGAACUUUGUAUUUUUUGUGCUAGAGUAAUAUUUUUGUGAUAGAGUUCUAUAUCUUCUAUUGAAUAUGCAGAGCUAAAGAAGCAAAAAGUUUCUGAAGUAAGACUGGAAUUGAUGAGGCAGAAGCUUUGGUUCCCUCACCACCCUCUUUUUUCUUUCUCUGUUUUUUUAAAAAGCUGCCUUAAUUUUUCAUUAUCUCAUAUAGUCUUUUUUAAGAGGCUUUGGCUUUUAAAUUAUGACAGGAUAAAAAUCUCAUAUAAGUAAUUCUUUUUUCCUUUUGGUGCACCUAUUUACCUUCUUAAUCUGUGAUAAUUUUUUAAUAUUUGUAGGUAUUACCAAAAAUAUCAUGGCCCAAAAGUUCAGAAGCUCUUAGAUCAAACAAGCUCAUAUUCAAUUACUAUUGUCAAGGAGUUAGGAAAAAUCACUGUUCUUAACCGAUGUUGCUCAUGUGAUAUCAUCAUAGAUAGUCCCCCUAAAUGGUUCCCAUCAAGAAUAAUUUGAUGGACUAGCAGUGGAUGAGGGAAUUUUUUUUUUUUUUGAAAAACUUCCAAAGAAGCUAUCAGUUUGUAAAAGCUAUAGAAGAAAAAACCAGCACAAUUAUUUAUUCAAAGAACUAAAAGAAAAUAGUUAUUUCACUAGGUAUGAGCCAUUAGCAACUGAAGUAGUUGAUGGUUUAUAUGAUUUAUGCUUUAAGGCAUUACAUUUUUUUUUAUUUUUGUUUUUGUGUUUGUGUGCGUGUGUGUAAGGAUGUUAACAUA